rnacentral:rRNA from 1 species
UGCAAGUCGAACGGAAAGGCCCUUGCUUGCAGGGGUACUCGAGUGGCGAACGGGUGAGUAACACGUGGGUGAUCUGCCCUGUACUUCGGGAUAAGCCUGGGAAACUGGGUCUAAUACCGGAUAGGACUGCAUCGAUUGGUGGUGUGGUGGAAAGAUGUUUUUCGGUAUGGGAUGAGCCCGCGGCCUAUCAGCUUGUUGGUGGGGUAAUGGCCUACCAAGGCGGCGACGGGUAGCCGGCCUGAGAGGGUGGACGGCCACAUUGGGACUGAGAUACGGCCCAGACUCCUACGGGAGGCAGCAGUGGGGAAUAUUGCACAAUGGGCGCAAGCCUGAUGCAGCGACGCCGCGUGAGGGAUGACGGCCUUCGGGUUGUAAACCUCUUUCGCUAGGGACGAAGCCAUCGUUGUGGUGGUGACGGUACCUGGAUAAGAAGCACCGGCUAACUACGUGCCAGCAGCCGCGGUAAUACGUAGGGUGCGAGCGUUGUCCGGAAUUACUGGGCGUAAAGAGCUCGUAGGUGGUUUGUCGCGUCGUCUGUGAAAUUCCGGGGCUUAACUUCGGGCGUGCAGGCGAUACGGGCAUAACUUGAGUGCUGUAGGGGAGACUGGAAUUCCUGGUGUAGCGGUGAAAUGCGCAGAUAUCAGGAGGAACACCGAUGGCGAAGGCAGGUCUCUGGGCAGUAACUGACGCUGAGGAGCGAAAGCAUGGGUAGCGAACAGGAUUAGAUACCCUGGUAGUCCAUGCCGUAAACGGUGGGCGCUAGGUGUAGGGGUCUUCCACGGCCUCUGUGUCGUAGCUAACGCAUUAAGCGCCCCGCCUGGGGAGUACGGCCGCAAGGCUAAAACUCAAAGGAAUUGACGGGGGCCCGCACAAGCGGCGGAGCAUGUGGAUUAAUUCGAUGCAACGCGAAGAACCUUACCUGGGCUUGACAUACACCAGAUCGCUGCAGAGAUGUAGUUUCCCUUGUGGUUGGUGUACAGGUGGUGCAUGGUUGUCGUCAGCUCGUGUCGUGAGAUGUUGGGUUAAGUCCCGCAACGAGCGCAACCCUUGUCUUAUGUUGCCAGCACGUUGUGGUGGGGACUCAUGAGAGACUGCCGGGGUUAACUCGGAGGAAGGUGGGGAUGACGUCAAAUCAUCAUGCCCCUUAUGUCCAGGGCUUCACACAUGCUACAAUGGUCGGUACAGUAGGUUGCGAUACCGUGAGGUGGAGCUAAUCCUUGAAAGCCGGUCGUAGUUCGGAUUGGGGUCUGCAACUCGACCCCAUGAAGUCGGAGUCGCUAGUAAUCGCAGAUCAGCAACGCUGCGGUGAAUACGUUCCCGGGCCUUGUACACACCGCCCGUCACGUCAUGAAAGUUGGUAACACCCGAAGCCAGUGGCCUAAGCCUUUGUGGUGGGGAGCUGUCGAAGGUGGGAUCGGCGAUUGGGACGAA